ensembl:lncRNA
UUUAUGAAAUUACACUGAAUAUUACACUGAGGAUGGUCCUCCCCUUCCUCCACUCAGGAGCUUCCACUGGAUUCAGCAGUAGACUAGGUGGUGUGUGGGCCGAUUUAGCAGUAGGCUAGGUGGUGUGUGGGCCGAUUUAGCAGUAGGCUAGGUGGUGUGUGGGCCGAUUUAGCAGUAGGCUAGGUGGUGUGUGGGCCGAUUUAGCAGUAGGCUAGGUGGUGUGUGGGCCGAUUUAGCAGUAGGCUAGGUGGUGUGUGGGCCGAUUUAGCAGUAGGCUAGGUGGUGUGUGGGCUGAUUUAGCAGUAGGCUAGGUGGUGUUUGGGC